rnacentral:lncRNA from 1 species
AAAAAUACAUAUUUUAAAAUUCCAAGUGAUUUUAAAAAGACUCUAAUAAAUGUAUUCAUUAAUAUUUAUCCAUUGCUUAGUGAGCUCAUCAAUUCUACACAAACUAUAGGUCCCACUUGCCAAAAAUUUGCUAUACUUAACAUGUAUAAUGACAAAAAAGAUUUCAUUUUCUUAAAAAUUUAAUUAAGAAAGAAAUUAUUAAAGCUAUCUGAUUCUGUAAAUACCCUGUACAAACACAUUUAUCUAGCCUUUCUUAUCCCCAUUUCCAAUAUAUCAGUUAUUCUCUUAGUUUGCUCAGGAGAGUUCAGGUUCUUAUCACAAAGAAAUUUAACGUAAAUUGAGAGAAUGUCAGCUGAUAUGGAAGGACCAAUCUUGCUCUCUCUAGUAUUAAAUAUCUCUAGAUCCUCCCCAUAUAGAGAAGAGAGUGAGACACUCUCUUGCCAAUCCGCCGGGUUCAUUAAUCAAACC